rnacentral:misc_RNA from 1 species
GAUGAAGAACGUAGCGAAAUGCGAUAAGUAAUGUGAAUUGCAGAAUUCAGUGAAUCAUCGAAUCUUUGAACGCACCUUGCACCCUUUGGCAUUCCGAAGGGUAUGCUCGUUUGAGUGUCAUUGUACUCUCACACUUCCGAUCUUUGGAUUGGGAGCGGUGGACUUGGGUGUUGCUGCUUACUGUGGCUCACCUCAAAUCGAUUCGUGCACCUCUUGGUUGGACAUAGUACGGCGUGAUAAGUGUCUUCGCCGGCACCUCAGUAGAGGGUGGCUGAUCGGGAGCUCUGCUUCAAACCGUCCUCGGACAACAACUGACAACUUGACCUCAAAUCGAGUAGGACUACCCGCUGAACUUAAGCAUAUCAAUACGCGGAGGA